rnacentral:lncRNA from 1 species
AAAAACUGACAAAGCUUCAAUGCUUAUUGUUAAUUAUUCGAGAUGUGAUUGUUUCAAGUAUGUAUACAGAAUCAAUUGUGAAUUCAUUUUGUGUUUGUUCAGUUAUUCGAUGUGAUUGUUUCAAUUUUUUUUAUUUUUUUUUUUAGCUUUUACAUUUUCGACCAAUUACAGCUUUGGUUGUUUGAAGCAUCGUAAGUUAAAUUAUUUUUUUUAAAAAAUUUACACGCUGAUGGUGACGUGGACUACCCAUGUGGCAUUUUCUGUCCAUGGCGUGUUUGGUGUCAUUCCGUAAGAGAGAAGGGUAUUUUUGAGCCAAAAAAUUUAAUGAAGCAGUAUUUUUGAGCCAAAAAACUAACGGAGGUAUUUUUAUUCUAUUUGGGAUAGUUCAAGGAUAUUUUUGACCCUUUUUCAAUAAGUAUAUAUUGUGAUGAUUUUAAAGAUUAAAUUUAUGUAUUUAGUACUGUUUUUAAGUGUUUCAUCUAUUAUACAAAUUCAUUCUUUUUGGAAAACCAGAUAACAUUCUUUACUACUGCAAAAUAUACUCCUCGGUGAUUGUAUCUACUGUCCAAGACUUAUUGCUCCUCAAUUUGGUGAUGUAGUUUCUAUCUAUGUAAUUUUGUUUAUAUCAAUGUUCGAUCCUACUUGUAAAUUAUGUGUACUUCUUGUUACUUGUUAGGUAACUUUUAUUUUCAGUGAAUCGAGAGAAAUACAACUAGAAAAGAAAACCAGCAAACAAAUCUCAUUGAAAUAUUUCUUAUUUUUAAUCGAUUCCUCUAAAAAUGGAUAAAAAAGAUUUGAGACGAUCAACUUUAACCAUUACUUCUAAUGGUUAUGGCAAUAAUUGUCAGUUAAUGAAGUAUAAUUUGCCACACUUUAUUGAUGUACAAAACGAAAAUAAAGGACUUUUUGGUUAGAAACACUUAUACCAUUGAUAAGUCCAUUCGGCAGGAACUUUCAUUGAUUAGCAAGUGGAUUUCCAUACCGAAUGCUUAGAGAAAAGGCAGGAAAAAACAACCCCCUUAAGUUCCCACUCGAGGAUCUUAGCAGUUCACUUGAUUGAAUACUUGAACUCUUGUCGGCAAGGGAUUAACUUUGAUGGAUUUUCAUGUGCAAACGUUGUUGGGCAUACUUAACUAGUUUCUCUACUUCUUUCUUGUUAUCAAUGAAACCAGUAUGAUCAGUAUCAGCAUCCUUCAUGACUCCACGAGCCUUCCACGAGCUGAACCACAUGUGUAGACUCUCAAGGGCUUCUGUUAGUUCUUCAGGGCUAAUGCGCUUGUCAUGAUCCAUGUCGAAUUGCUUAAUCCACACCUUGAAUUCCUGCACUGACAUAUCCCUAUCCGGCUGCUGCACUGGAAGCUCGAAACAACUCAUUAUUGCCAUCUCUUUCUUCACCUUUACUUAGCAAAGAGAACACUGCCCUUACUGGGGAUGUGAUGCCCUCCUGUUGAAACUUCCUUUGUAUAUUGGUUGGUUGUUAAAUUUGCACAACUUUUUUCAAGUGCUAGGGAAUCUAUUUGAUGGGCAUCUUUUACUUUUAAAUUUUUGUUCAAAAUGAAUUGAUUCAAUUCACUCUAAUAAUAUGAAUUAUUCUCCAUUAGUGGCUUUGAAGUGAUGCUGAUUCUAGCAACUUUAUUCCAACUCAAAUUGUGGAGAGAAA